AAACUCCGCAAUGCUCGAAAGAGCGACGGGGGAGACUCCGAGUGCCUACGCUUUGCGUAGGCUUUUCCCGAGCCUAAAAAGCUCAGGGAAUAAGGGCUG
rnacentral:rRNA from 1 species